rnacentral:rRNA from 1 species
GGCACCUACGGGGGGCAGCAGUGAGGAAUAUUGGUCAAUGGCCGCAGGGCUGAACCAGCCAAGUCGCGUGAGGGGUGACGGUCCUAUGGAUUGUAAACCUCUUUUGUCAGGGAGCAAAGGGCGCCACGUGUGGCGUUUUGCGAGUACCUGAAGAAAAAGCAUCGGCUAACUCCGUGCCAGCAGCCGCGGUAAUACGUAGGUGGCGAGCGUUAUCCGGAAUGAUUGGGCGUAAA